AUUGAACGCUGGCGGCAGGCCUAACACAUGCAAGUCGAACGAGUGGCGGACGGGUGAGUAAUGUCUGGUAAACUGCCUGAUGGAGGGGGAUAACUACUGGAAACGGUAGCUAAUACCGCAUACCAUCAGAUGUGCCCAGGUGGGAUUAGCUUGUUGGUGGGGUAACGCCUCACCAGGGCGACGAUCCCUAGCUGGUCGGAGAGGAUGACCAGCCACACGGGAACGGAGAAACGGUCCAGACUCCUACGGGAGGCAGCAGGGGGGAAUAUUGGAAAAUGGGGGAAAGCCUAAGGCAGCCAUGCCGGGUGUAUGAAGAAGGCCUUCGGGUUGUAAAGUACUUUCAGCGGGGAGGCGUUACCCGCAGAAGAAGCACCGGCUAACUCCGUGCCAGCAGCCGCGGUAAUUC
rnacentral:rRNA from 1 species